rnacentral:rRNA from 1 species
UACGGAGGGUGCAAGCGUUAUCCGGAUUCACUGGGUUUAAAGGGUGCGUAGGCGGGCUUGUAAGUCAGUGGUGAAAGCCCGGGGCUUAACUCCGGAACUGCCGUUGAUACUGCAAGUCUUGAGUACACUUGAGGUGGGCGGAAUACAUCAUGUAGUGGUGAAAUGCUUAGAUAUGUAGAGGAACGCCGAUAACGAAGGUAACUCACUGGGCUAUUACUGACGCUGAGGUACGAAAGCGUGGGGAGCAAACAGG